rnacentral:rRNA from 1 species
UACGAAGGGUGCUAGCGUUGUUCGGAAUCACUGGGCGUAAAGCGCGCGUAGGUGGCUUCUCAAGUCAGAGGUGAAAGCCCGGGGCUCAACCCCGGAAUUGCCUUUGAAACUGUGAAGCUUGAGUGUCGGAGGGGAUAGCGGAAUUGCUAAUGUAGAGGUGAAAUUCGUAGAUAUUAGCAGGAACACCGGUGGCGAAGGCGGCUAUCUGGACGACAACUGACACUGAGGCGCGAAAGUGUGGGGAUCAAACAGG